UGAGGAAUAUUGGUCAAUGGACGAAAGUCUGAACCAGCCAUGCCGCGUGAAGGAUGACUGCCCUAUGGGUUGUAAACUUCUUUUGUAUAGGAAGAAACCCUCUUACGUGUAAGAGGCUGACGGUACUAUACGAAUAAGCACCGGCUAACUCCGUGCCAGCAGCCGCGGUAAUACGGAGGGUGCGAGCGUUAUCCGGAAUUAUUGGGUUUAAAGGGUGCGUAGGCGGAAAUUUAAGUCAGUGGUGAAAUCCUGCAGCUCAACUGUAGAAUGGCCAUUGAUACUGAAUUUCUUGAAUCUGAUUGAAGUAGGCGGAAUAUGACAUGUAGCGGUGAAAUGCUUAGAUAUGUCAUAGAACACCGAUAGCGAAGGCAGCUUACUAAGUCAGUAUUGACGCUAAUGCACGAAAGCGUGGGGAGCGAACAGG
rnacentral:rRNA from 1 species